rnacentral:rRNA from 1 species
AUUGAACGCUGGCGGCAGGCCUAACACAUGCAAGUCGAACGAGUGGCGGACGGGUGAGUAAUGUCUGGGAAACUGCCUGAUGGAGGGGGAUAACUACUGGAAACGGUAGCUAAUACCGCAUACCAUCGGAUGUGCCCAGAUGGGCUUAGCUAGUAGGUGGGGUAAAGGCUCACCAAGGCGACGAUCCCUAGCUGGUCUGAGAGGAUGACCAGCCCCACUGGAACGGAGCCACGGUCAAGACGCCUACGGGAGGCAGCAGUGGGGAAUAUUGGACAAUGGGCGAAAGCCUGAUGCAGCCAUGCCGCGUGUAUGAAGAGGGCCUUCGGGUGGUAAAGUACUUUCAGCGGGGAGGCGUUACCCGCAGAAGAAGCACCGGCUAACUCCGUGCCAGCAGCCGCGGUAAUUC